AGUUAUAAAAGACAUCCGAAUUGAAGGUCGGGGAAAUUUGGAUUGUCACUAGAAAAUGAGGAUAUAAUUAACGGAAAGGGGCAGAAAUUGUACCUUGCAACAGACCAUAUGCUACAUGUAAGACUUCAAUAAUUUGUUUCAAGAAAUCUUAACGUGAAAAGAAUGUAGCACUCUCUUAACACAAGACACCGAAUUAUCGUCCACAUUUAGACCGGACGUUGCUGCGUACUUGUAAAUCCCGCACUACCAAACGGACACCACACUUUAGUAAAGGUUUUACAGCCGGUCAGAAGAACGCACAAGUGAC
rnacentral:lncRNA from 1 species